UACAGAGGUCCCAAGCGUUACUGAGAAUCACUGGGUUUAAAGGGUGCGUAGGUGGUCCGUUAAGUCAGUUGUGAAAUCCCCGGGCUCAACCCGGGAACUGCUUCUGAUACUGGCGGACUUGAGGCCAGUAGGGGUCACUAGAACUGACGGUGGAGCGGUGAAAUUCGUAGAUAUUCGCAAGAACACCAGUGGCGAAGGCGGCUCACUGGCCCGAUACUGACGCUGAGGUGCGAAAGCGUGGGGAGCAAACAGG
rnacentral:rRNA from 1 species